CGUGGGGGGUGCUAUACAUGCAAGUCGAGCGGACAGAAGGGAGCUUGCUCCCGGAUGUUAGCGGCGGACGGGUGAGUAACACGUGGGUAACCUGCCUGUAAGACUGGGAUAACUCCGGGAAACCGGAGCUAAUACCGGAUAGUUCCUUGAACCGCAUGGUUCAAGGAUGAAAGACGGUUUCGGCUGUCACUUACAGAUGGACCCGCGGCGCAUUAGCUAGUUGGUGAGGUAACGGCUCACCAAGGCGACGAUGCGUAGCCGACCUGAGAGGGUGAUCGGCCACACUGGGACUGAGACACGGCCCAGACUCCUACGGGAGGCAGCAGUAGGGAAUCUUCCGCAAUGGACGAAAGUCUGACGGAGCAACGCCGCGUGAGUGAUGAAGGUUUUCGGAUCGUAAAGCUCUGUUGUUAGGGAAGAACAAGUGCCGUUCAAAUAGGGCGGCACCUUGACGGUACCUAACCAGAAAGCCACGGCUAACUACGUGCCAGCAGCCGCGGUAAUACGUAGGUGGCAAGCGUUGUCCGGAAUUAUUGGGCGUAAAGGGCUCGCAGGCGGUUUCUUAAGUCUGAUGUGAAAGCCCCCGGCUCAACCGGGGAGGGUCAUUGGAAACUGGGGAACUUGAGUGCAGAAGAGGAGAGUGGAAUUCCACGUGUAGCGGUGAAAUGCGUAGAGAUGGUGGAGGACCACCAGUGGCGAAGGUGACUCUCUGGUCUGUUACUGACGCUGAGGAGGCGAAAAGCUUGGGGGAAGCGGAACCAGGAAUUAGAUACCCUUGGUAGUCCACGCCGUAAAACGAUGAGUGCUAAGUGGUUAGGGGGGUUUUCCGCCCCUUUAGUGCUGCAGCUAACGCAUUAAGCACUCCCGCCUGGGGGAGUACGGUCGCAAGACUGAAAAUUCAAAGGAAAUUGAACGGGGGCCCGCACAAAGCGGUGGAGCAUGUGGUUUAAAUUGAAAGCAACGCGAAGGAACCUUACCAGGUCUUGACAUCCUCUGACAAUCCUAGAGAUAGGACGUCCCCUUCGGGGGCAGAGUGACAGGUGGUGCAUGGUUGUCGUCAGCUCGUGUCGUGAGAUGUUGGGUUAAGUCCCGCAACGAGCGCAACCCUUGAUCUUAGUUGCCAGCAUUCAGUUGGGCACUCUAAGGUGACUGCCGGUGACAAACCGGAGGAAGGUGGGGAUGACGUCAAAUCAUCAUGCCCCUUAUGACCUGGGCUACACACGUGCUACAAUGGACAGAACAAAGGGCUGCGAGACCGCAAGGUUUAGCCAAUCCCACAAAUCUGUUCUCAGUUCGGAUCGCAGUCUGCAACUCGACUGCGUGAAGCUGGAAUCGCUAGUAAUCGCGGAUCAGCAUGCCGCGGUGAAUACGUUCCCGGGCCUUGUACACACCGCCCGUCACACCACGAGAGUUUGCAACACCCGAAGUCGGUGAGGUAACCUUUAUGGAGCCAGCCGCCGAAG
rnacentral:rRNA from 1 species